UACGUAGGUGGCAAGCGUUGUCCGGAUUUACUGGGCGUAAAGAGCGCGCAGGCGGUCGUUCAAGUCGCGUGUGAAAGCCCCCGGCUCAACUGGGGAGGGUCACGCGAUACUGAUCGACUCGAAGGCAGGAGAGGGUAGUGGAAUUCCCGGUGUAGUGGUGAAAUGCGUAAAUAUCGGGAGGAACACCAGUGGCGAAGGCGACUACCUGGCCUGUUCUUGACGCUGAGGCGCGAAAGCGUGGGGAGCGAACAGG
rnacentral:rRNA from 1 species